CCCCUCCUCAGUAAACUGGCCUAAAGAGGCCAAUGUGUGUUCUUGCUGUUUGGUUUUGUAGAACCGAGAUGGAAUCCAGGGCCUUGGCAUGAUGGGGAGCCCCAGAGAGGAUCCCUGGAUGCUGAGCUUCCCGAAACUCCUCGCAGAGAUUUUCUAAGAGUCCAGCCACAAAUGUGGGUGUGAACUUACCUGAGACGGUGACCACGAGCCUCUGGAAUGACAUAUGCCACUAUGCUACCUCCCAGUGGGCAUCUCCUGGGCCUCCUGCUGACAUGCGCAUUCCAGAUCUGCCAAGCUGACAACCAACACCAACCAUCACAUACUCCAUUUUAGAUUUGCAACCACCACAGUGGAUGGAGACUGAGUUUGCCAGAUGAGCUGACGCUCAGAGAAGGUAAGAUGCUAGCCCCAGGCCACACAGCAGGGGAGUGGUAGGCCUCUCUAAACCCUUGACAGCUUAUCUCAGAGUUGGAGCCAACUGGCCAUCUGAGUGUCCUCACAGCAGGAUGCCAUUCACAGGCCCUGAGGCAGUAAUGAUCUGCAGGUUCAGGGUGGGACCUCCUGAGGGAGGAGUAGCUGAUCCUCUGGCCAGUGCAGAAGCUUUCCUGGCAGCACUGGACCCAUCCUUGCAUGAGAUGGACGAUGCCUUUGGAGGGUGCUCAUUCCCAGCACCUCAAGGGGAAACUGCAGCCCUCAGCUGUGUCCUUUCCUGCCCUGGGCUCUGGAGGUGACCCUGUGACCCUGAACCACAAAGCACCCAGCUGGGAGCCUGCCAACUGGGAGGCUUCGGCAUGGAGCCUCUGGCACCACCGUGGCACCCGUGUCAGCAGGCUGACCUCUAGAGCAGGGCAGCCUAGCCUGAGAGCACCAAGGGGAGAGCUGCAGCCACACAGCAGCCACUGCUCACUCACUCACCUGCAGCCCUGGCUCAGCACGCAGAACCCAGGCAUCCUGUCUGUCACUAACGACUCAGUCCCGAGGCCCAUGGCCAAUGCAGGGUGCUCUCAGCACCAGCGAACAGUAGCCCGGAACACCGCCUGGACCUUAAUUACUUCUGACACUCAGCAGACAACAGCUUCCUGUCCUUCCUACCAGAGGUUGCUACCUUCUGCCUUAAUUAGGACCGCAGAGCCAGGGAGUCGGCCUGAGCACCGGGGGGACCAACGGACAGUGCGGCCUUAACAUGCGCCCACUUCCCUGUGCCUGCCCCUCCGGAGAGCUAGGCCUCACCCUCGGAUGGUAAACUCAGGAGGAUCCCUAGUGGGCAGCGGAGAAUCAGCCUGCACAGGGACAAUGCAGAGCUUGAACUUAACCACUCCCGGGGGAAAAGGAAGGGAGAAGAAGAGGAAGAGGAAGGGAGGACUGAGCAAAGUACUGAGGACUGACUGCAACACGGUCCCCAGACCAGAGUGCUCCCCAGGAACAGGGCUUCAGGCACUCUGUCCCCAGACCAGAGUGCUCCCAGGAACAGGCUUCAGGCACUCUGUCCCCAGACCAGAGUGCUCCCCAGGAACAGGGCUUCAGGCACUCUGUUCCCAGACCAGAGUGCUCCCCAGGAACAGGGCUUCAGGCACUCUGUUGGGAAUAUUAUUCUAAGGUGUGUUACUUUUGUUUGUGUUGCAUUUGUCUAACUCUGUGAAGCUGUGUGACUGUGCCUG